CACACACUAAUCCAAGGCCACUGAAACUUGAUGCAUGUAAUUACAUUUCCCCUGUUUGGGUACAUUCUGCCAAGAUCAUUAUCAAUGUACAAUCACAGGAAAUCAAUAGAAAAAAAAAGUUUUCUCCCUAAUGUUUAGGAAAUAGGUGUGAAUCUGGACCCAAACAGAAAACAAGGUGAUGCAUCUGUCUUCAAAUUUGUCUGAGAACUACUUUGUUUAAGAAAUGCAACACGGUGUAAUCAACUGCCUUGUUGAUAGUAUCUUCUCAGAGGGCCAUCAUAUUAUGUAAGGAAAACAAGAAAAAUGGCUUUAAAGCCGUAUGUUAUUUCCAACAAGAAAGACCCAAAAGAAUGAGAGAUGUUGUUCUCAACUACCUCCUAGACAGCAAACGUACCCUGGACUCCUAGAGGUUUGGAGACUCUCUUGCCACAGGGGGAAAUUAACAGGGCUCUAUUUGGAAAUGCUUCUGCUUACAGAGGCCAUAGACUCUGGUGAGGGGCCUAGGAUUAUUGGCCCUAUAUGGAAGCAAAAGGAUAACUUCUCUAAGUCUUGAGAAAUAAAAGGUAUUUGGGAUGUAUGAGGGACAGAGACUCCUCUUUUUUUGUACACAGUGCCCAGAUGAGGGGGAAGGUUUUGGAGUGGCCUUUGGGAGGUAAGUUAGUGGCUCUUCCCUCUACCUAGAAUGUUCUUCCCCCAAAUAUUCACAUGUCUGAUUCCACACCUCAUCCAAGACUCUAAUCACAUGUCAUGAGCUUCUGAAAGCCUUCCUGAUUACUCAAAAAAUCGACUCUGACACCCCACCAUCACCUUCUCUCUUCUUACUUUGUCUUUUAUUGCUUUCCAAUUCUGAUCUCAACCUGAUAUUUUAUAACAUACAUAUUGUACCUACCUAUUUAUAUAUUUAUGUAGAAGCUUAUUGUUCUUCUCCACUAAAAUUUAUGCCCUUUGAAGGCAGAGAUUUGAGUUUAUUCAACAUUACAUAACUAAUACACAGUAAAAAAUAUUUGUUACGUGAUAAGUUUCCCAGAUCCCUUGAAAGGACAUAAAACAUACAAAUGUGGGGAUCCCUGGGUGGCUCGGCAGUUUAGCACCUGCCUUUGGCCCAGGGCGUAAUCCUG
rnacentral:lncRNA from 1 species